CCGGCGCAAGGGUGCGUAACGCGUGAGCAACAUGCCCGUAUCAGGGGAAUAAUCCAGGGAAACUUGGUCUAAUACCCCAUAGUAAAUAUUAAAGGCAUCUUUAAUAUUUUAAAGCUUUGGUGGAUACGGAUUGGCUCGCGUGACAUUAGCUAGAUGGUAAGGUAACGGCUUACCAUGGCUACGAUGUCUAGGGGUUCUGAGAGGAAGAUCCCCCACACUGGAACUGAGACACGGUCCAGACUCCUACGGGAGGCAGCAGUGAGGAAUAUUGGACAAUGGAUGGAAAUCUGAUCCAGCCAUGCCGCGUGCAGGAAGACGGCCCUAUGGGUUGUAAACUGCUUUUAUAUGGGGGCAAUAAGGCCUACGUGUAGGUUGAUGAGAGUACCAUAUGAAUAAGCACCGGCUAACUCCGUGCCAGCAGCCGCGGUAAUACGGAGGGUGCAAGCGUUAUCCGGAUUUAUUGGGUUUAAAGGGUGCGUAGGCGGUUUGAUAAGUCAGCGGUGAAAUAUUUCAGCUUAACUGGAAGGGUGCCGUUGAUACUGUCAGGCUUGAAUUUAGUUGCUGUGGGUGGAAUGUGUGGUGUAGCGGUGAAAUGCAUAGAUAUCACACAGAAUAUCGAUUGCGAAGGCAGCUCACAAAGCUAACAUUGACGCUGAUGCACGAAAGUGUGGGGAUCAAACAGGAUUAGGUACCCUGGUAGUCCACACUGUAAACGAUGAUAACUCGCUGUCGGCGAUACAUAGUCGGUGGCCAAGCGAAAGCGAUAAGUUAUCCACCUGGGGAGUACGACCGCAAGGUUGAAACUCAAAGGAAUUGAC
rnacentral:rRNA from 1 species